GGAAAGGCUUCGUGCUGCAGUGGUGGGUGGUGGAGAUUGGAGGAGGAGAGCCACCACCAUUUUGUGCAGAGUCUUGACAAGCUGCACGAGAACCGAGUACCUCACCCUGGACAAAGGAUAAUAAUGAUGGGCGGAAAGACUAGGAAACAUGGAAAGCACACAUUUGUGAAGAUGAGCCUUGGGAAGGGAAGAUACUUCUAUUUGCCCAUGGAGACCGUUGAUCUCUAAAAUAAACACCGACUACUGUCCAGCUGCAUGCAGGCUUCACUAAUGCUGUGUCUGGUGCCUAUAAAAAUCUACACUCUCCUACUUGGCCUGUCAUUCCAGUGGUGAGCAGGUAGGCUAUAUUUUACUCACAGUGACGCCCAUGUUGGGCGGGGCAUAAGAUGAACAGCUUAGGGCCAUAGUAACUUUGGUAGUUCUGGAAACAGAGUUUCAAUCAAGUAGUCCACUCAGGCCUUAAACUCAGGAUCCUUGAGCCUGGCCUGCCUCUCAAGUACUUGGAUUACACCACACCCUACUGACCUUUGCAUUUAAGGGGACUCCUCCACCCCACCCCAACAAAGCAAGCCUAAGUUGAUUUUGGUUUUCCCAUCUUGUAACUAUGGAAGGCUUUUCUCCUAGAAGACCUAAUAAUUUAACAGGCUCAUUUGUUCUUCUUGGUCUGUGCAAAACAAAUCUUGGUGUGUAAAGGGGAUGGUGGCUUAGAGACACAAAAGCAAAAAAUACAUUUAAAAAAGUUCAGCCUGCCGGCUGGAUUGAGAGCAGAGAAGCCUGCCCCUCCCCCCUCUUUGCAAUUUCCAGACAAAGGGUGCCUGCUGAUGUACAGUAGACGCAGAGAAUUCCUCGAAGGCUGGCGUGCGGAGGGAGGGUUGACACACACGUGGCCAAUGCCAUCACUCGGGGUCAGGCCUGCGAAAUCUGGCCAAGAGGAACUUAGGGUUUGCCAUUAAGAUGGCUUAACUGAAUCAGCACCAGCUUCCAUGCCACCGCGAAGCUGCAAAGCAGCAAAGCAGCAGCCUGCAGUGAAAGGAGAGAUCCCAGGAAUAAGGAUGACAAAAGUCAAGAUUUAGGGUUCAGUUCCAGCUGAUUUUAUUUCCUUCUCAAAAAAAGUUAUUUACAGAAGGUAUAUAGGAACAACCUGACAGGCAGUGACGGACAGGAUUAGCUGGCAUGAUUUUUUUUCUUUUUCUCUUCCCCCAAAUAUUGUUUUUUGUUUUUUUUUUUGUUUUUUUUUUUUUGCUUUUUUUUGUGGCCUUGAAUUUUAAGACAAAUAUUCUACACGGCAUAUUGCACAGGAUGGAUGGUUAAAAAAAAAGAAAUAAAAAAAGAAAGGAAAAAAAAGAGUUUUAAAACAAAAACCCUUAACGGAACUGCCUCUUAAAAGGCAGGCGUCCUCGUGCCUGUCAUGUUAUAUUAAACAUACAUACACACAAUCUUUUUGCUUAUUAUAAUACAGACUUAAAUGUACAAAGAUGUUUUCCACUUUUUUCAAUCUUUAAACACAACAGCUAUAAACCUGAACACAUAUGCUAUCACCAUGCCAUAGGACUGAAACAAUUAUAUUUAGCGACAAGUAGAAAGGAUUAAAUAGUCAAAUACAAGAAUGAAAACGCAGUACAUUGUGUCGCGAACUCAAAUCGGCAUUUAGAUAGAUCCAGUGGUUUAAACGGCACGUUUUUGCUUUAUAAAAAAAAGUGCAAAAAAGAUGUGGUUUACAAGUUAAAGCUACAGAAUCCCUUUUUGCUGUGAAUGCACCAGUUUUAAAAACCUCUGGACAGAACAGCAAUUCGUUAAAAAAAAAAAAUUUUUUUUUUUAAAGCAUUAUGGUGCUGGGCUGAACUCUCCUCCCCUUAUAAGACCAGGGGGUUGAAAGGUGGAAACCGGUGGCAGGUUAAGGGAUACUGUCACUUUAAGAAGCCUGCAGAUUGAAGUGUAAACAUGGAGAAACCAGGGGCUGAUUUUUCAAACUGUGUGAGAUAUUAACCAGCCACCCUAUUAUAAAAUCAGGAAAUCCAAACAGCGAUUUACACCGAUUAACACCCCCUUUAUAUAUUUUUUACAAAAAUACACUGAGAAAAUAAUCAAACGUUUUCAUCUCUCUUGUCAUUUUUUGUUUUUUAAAAGUGUCAAAAGUCUACAUUUAAAUAUAAAAAAUUAAAAGUUAAAACUCUAGCCCUUCAGUGAAGGAGACGUAAAAUGGCGUGGGUAACAACACUAGAAAAAAAAAAAAAA